GCCCAGUGACCACUGCGUUUAACGGCCGCGGUAUUAUAACCGUGCGAAGGUAGCGUAAUCACUUGUCUUUUAAAUGAAGACCCGUAUGAAUGGCACCACGAGGGUUUAACUGUCUCCUUCUCCAAGUCAAUGAAAUUGAUCUAUCCGUGCAGAAGCGGACAUGCAAACAUAAGACGAGAAGACCCUGUGGAGCUUUAGGCUGAGGCUCAAACAUGUGAAAAAAUUUUUCUCAGACAAAAGAGUACACAACAAAUUUAAAGCUAAUGUGCCAUGACCAAAUGCCUUCGGUUGGGGCGACCACGGGGAAAAGCAAAGCCCCCGAAUGGAGUGAAGUUGUCUUCAAAACUAAGAGGCACGCCUCUAAGUACCAGAAAAUCUGACCAAAUAUGACCCGGGUUGAAAUAUAGACCCGAUCAAUGAACCAAGUUACCCCAGGGAUAACAGCGCAAUCCUUUCCAAGAGUCCAUAUCGACGAAAGGGUUUACGACCUCGAUGUUGGAUCAGGACAUCCUAAUGGUGUACCGCUAUUAAGGGUUCGUUUGUUCAACG
rnacentral:rRNA from 1 species